CGUGUUAAUGGAACGGUCUGGAAAGUCCGGCGAUACAGGGUGAUAGCCCCGUACAUGAAAAUGCACGCGUUGUGAACUCGAAGAGUAGGGCGGGACACGUGGUAUCCUGUCUGAAUAUGGGGGGACCAUCCUCCAAGGCUAAAUACUCCUGACUGACCGAUAGUGAACCAGUACCGUGAGGGAAAGGCGAAAAGAACCCCGGCGAGGGGAGUGAAAAAGAACCUGAAACCGUGUACGUACAAGCAGUGGGAGCCUACUUGUUAGGUGACUGCGUACCUUUUGUAUAAUGGGUCAGCGACUUAUAUUCUGUAGCAAGGUUAACCGAAUAGGGGAGCCGAAGGGAAACCGAGUCUUAACUGGGCGUUAAGUUGCAGGGUAUAGACCCGAAACCCGGUGAUCUAGCCAUGGGCAGGUUGAAGGUUGGGUAACACUAACUGGAGGACCGAACCGACUAAUGUUGAAAAAUCAGCGGAUGACCUGUGGCUGGGG
rnacentral:rRNA from 1 species